rnacentral:lncRNA from 1 species
AUGUUUCAACGUGAAAGAGGAAGUUGUUGUCAUUUACAUAUACAUUGUCCAAUCUGUGUGUGUGUGUGUAUAUAUAUAUAUAUAUAUAUAUAUGUGUGUGUGUGUGUGUGUGUACAUGUAUGUGUGUAUGUAUAUGUAUUUACAGUAUAUCAAUUUUACUUUGACAACAGUCUUUCUUUCCUGUACAUAACUAUACUGCUCAAUGUUUUCUCCCGGUUUCAUGCUGUUUUUAAGGUGGCUACAAAAAUUCAGAACACCGACAAAGCAUCUGAAUCCCAGGAACUGUGUUUGUUACCUUGGGAGAAGAAGGGAAGACUCUGGGGUGACGAUGUUGGAGCAGAUGGCAGUGAUAUCGACGAGGCUGAACCACCGAGCCCAGGCUCCGUCGGGGAAAACACAGAGCCUGUGUGGGGUCACACAAGACCAGAUGAAAGUCCGAUCCCUCCAGUUCUCCGUCACAGAAAGACGGCCGGCAUCACUGAGUCUGUGGACAAACGGGAAACUGUGACUGUGGCAGCCAGAAACGAUGACAACGGUGACUUCUGGUGGAGUGAGAGCGGGGGGCUCCAUCUGCUUCUGCUGUUUUGGCUGCUGCUCUACUGUUUCUGGCUCCUGCCACAGAUGGACCUGAAGACACUGCCCAGCCUGCUGCUGAACCUCAACCACUGAACACGCAGAGCAUUUUGUUUUCAGUGACAGAUAAACUGUCACUCAUCUCAAUUUUUCAUCACACUGUCUGUACUCUAAGUAAAUUGAAGGCAUUUGAAAGAUGUAUAUUUUAACCGCUAAAGCUUUUUGGGGUUUUUGCUUUAUUAUCUUUCCAUGUUGCUUUAAGUGAUCGGCGUGUAAGUAUAAAGACCUACUUCAGCAUAAAAGGACAUCUGACAAAAAGUCCUAACACUUUGAAAAAUAUAGAAGUUAUUUUUUCGUAAUUAAGACCAUUCUCAUAAAUGUGACUUCCGGGCAACCGUGGCUCAGGAGGUAGAAUCGGUUGUCUACUGACCCGAAGGAUGGCGGUUCAAUUCCCAGCUUCUCCUGGCCUGCAUGCUCACGUGGCCUCGACCAGGACACUUGACCCUAAAUUGCCUCCAACUCCUCCGGCAGUGUAUGAAUGUGACAGUAAAAGCACGGUAAAUAGCAACGCUGUGUGAAUAGGUGUGACUUGUGCUUUGAGUGGUCAAUGAGACAAAAGUCAAUUCAAUGUAGCAACUUCACUCCCAAAGUAUUGACUCUUUCCUCAUGAAUUUAUUUGUGCAACUUUUUUCCUCAAAAUGACUUCUUACCAUCUUACUUCAUCUUACUAUCUUAGCUGAGGACUGCACCUCUUCUGGACAGAGACUUCAGAAUCUUUGAUGGACGACCUCUUUGUUUCAUUUCAUUGCACCUCUGUUAGCUGACGAACGUCGCUGCAAGCUUUCUUGAUCUUGGCUUCCAGCCUUCUUCUCCGUGGGGGGAACUCUCUGCAUGGUGCCUUCUCGAUCUCAUAACCAAGUAUCUCCAGCAUCACUGUUGCAGUGGCAAAUCCGAGGUCAUUGGUUUCUGUGACCGUAGUCGAGGAGACAGUUAGUAAGAGCUGUGUUAAUAUCUGUAAUUUUCUUUUCUGAUGGGGCUUUGUCAUAUACAUAAAUAUACACUGCUCCAAAUAAAUUAAGGGGACACUCAAAUCACACAUCGGGCUCGAUGAGAGAGUUAUUCAAGUUGAAAAUCUUUACUGGUGUACAUUGUAUAAUUUGUUGAGAACAAAAGGACAUAACGGUCACAAAAUCACGGUUCAAAUCAAAGUAAAAAAAUUAAAUCACAGGUUGAUCCCAUAUGUUUUUUUAAAAAUAUAUAUGAAGUCACAUCCACCCAUUCACACACAUUCAUACAGCGCUGUUAUUUACCACACUUUUUUCUCUGUCACACUCACACUGCCAGGACAAGUUAGGGUCAAGUGUUUUGUCCAAGGACACGUUUGCAUUCGGACUGGGAUAAGAGUGGAUCAAAUCACCGACCUUCGGGUUAGUGGACAACCGUCUCUACAUCCUGAGUCACAGCCGCCCCAAUAUAUAUAGUCUUAUUAGUCAUAUAUAGUAAUGGAAGCGCUAAUAAUACCACCACAAGCCUAAUAACUCCUAGGGGUCUACUAUAACUCUUGUACUAAAGCAGCAGCCCAUCUUCCUGUUGUGUAAUAGUUGGGGUUGAAUAUGUAUUUGUAAUAUUUCAUGGCUCAAGGUUUAUGAAUAGAUUUUUUUUUAAGUUUUAUGAUGAAGAAAUAUUUUAUGUGAUUGAGCUAUGCUUGAAUUUGUCCAAGUAUGUCAAUAAGAUUGCUUAACAAUUGAAUAUAUUUCUACAUUAUUUUUGGAUAACGUCUGCAAUGAAGGGUUGUGGUGUACUAAAAUGUGAUACUAAAUAUUUUCGAUCAUUGUAGUGAAGGUCAAGGUCAAGUUCAAGUUACUUUAUUAGUACCAAGAGGUAGAUUUUUUUUUGCAGUGGAGUCCUCAUACACACAUAUGGGAAAAAACAAAGAGGCACAUAUCGCACAUCAUUCAACUUAAGACAGUGGAAAUUAAGAAGAAAUGGCAAAAAUUUAAAUUAAAUUUAAAAAGUUCUUUCCGGUCCAGAUAAUACUUAAAUAUUGAUGUGAACUAAAUACUAAUAGUAAAAAGAAAGUAAAACAAAAUGAAUAAGUAAACUUUUGUUUAGGUUAUGAAAACAUACAGAAAGGUUAAGAUAUAAUAAAUAAAUACAUACAUAAAAGCAACAAUAAAUGAACACCUGAACACCUGUGCAAAGUACAGCUAUGACUUAUUCCUCAGUGUAAUGGCUGCAGGGACAAAACAGUUUUUGUCUUUUUGUUCUACACCUAGGGAUUGUAAAGCUACGCCCAGAGGGGAGAAGCUGAAACUCUGUGUGCAAUGGAUGGGAACUGUCGUUUAAAAUGUAACCAGUUAUGCGCUGUAACUGUUUUGUGUACAUCAGUCCUCCAUCACCAAGCCUGAUUCUGCUUUCAUACUAGCAGAACAGAGGGUAACUGUACUGAAUUUGAAUACAACUUGUUCAGCAGAAAAGCCAAUUAUCGCGUUCAGUACAAACUGGGUCAUCCCUCCAACACAGUGCUUCACAAUUAUAUCUCAAGUGUGUGUCCUAAUGUGUUCUUGUACUUUUGUCCUUGUGAUUACUAGAGCUGUGUCCCAGUUCCAUCCUAUUUACUAAUUGCACACAGUAUGGAUUAUACCAUAAUCCUGAUAUGCUGCAGGAAAUCACUAUACUUUUUUGUGUAGUACAAAUGGGAACCUGCCAUCAAUCAAACUGUAACUGAAACUUCACAAAAAGACAACAAAAAUGUUUAAACUAAAGAUUUAAUAUUUAUAUAUGCAUUAUGACCGUUAUUAUAUAAUACUGUUUUACAAUGUAAUGUUGGUUUGACAUGACAAAUAAAAGUCCACCUACUUGCCGUUUCUAGGUAAUUUCUGGUAUUUAUUUCCAAACAAAUGUAAUUAUUACCAAAAAUCAAUGCUCACACAGUGAUCAUAGGGUUUUUGAGCAUCUACCUUCAUUAUCUAACUUUAACCGUGUUUCAGCUCCCAGAACAAUAUUAACAUUACUUUUGCUUUUAGUUGCCACAAGCAGAUGUACUCAGUACUCUGUAUGUAAAAAUGUGAAUACAACAUACAUAAGAAAGUUUUCAAAUAGAUUUAAAAUGCUUCAUGCACAUCAUACAUCC